AAAAGAUUAGUUAAUUUAUAACUUAAGCUUGUCAAGCUUAGAUUACUAUUUUUAUAGUAUCUUUUG
rnacentral:tRNA from 1 species